rnacentral:rRNA from 1 species
GACGAACGCUGGCGGCGUGCCUAAUACAUGCAAGUAGGACGCAGUUUUGAACGGGUUAGUAACGCGUAGGUAACUGCCUAUUAGCGGGGGCUAACUAUUGUAAACGUUAGCUAAUACCGCAUACUAGUAGAUGGACCUGCGUUGUAUUAGCUAGUAGGUAGGGUAAUGGCCUACCUAGGCGAAGAUACAUAGGCGACAGUGGAGGGGUAUUGGACAUAAUGGGACGGAGAAAAGGCCCAGACUCCUAAGGGAGGCAGCAGGAGGGAAUCUGCGGAAAUGAGAGGAAGUCUGACCGAGGAACGCCGCGUGAGGGAAGAAGGUUUUCGGAUAGUAAAGCUCUGUUGUUAAGGAAGCGGUACUUAACGAGAAAGGGACGGCUAACUAAGUGCCAGCAGCCGCGGUAAUAC